rnacentral:rRNA from 1 species
UGAAGAUGCAGUGUACCCGCGGCUAGACGGAAAGACCCCGUGAACCUUUACUACAGCUUGGCACUGAACAUUGACCCUACAUGUGUAGGAUAGGUGGGAGGCUUUGAAGCACGUACGCCAGUAUGUGUGGAGCCGUCCUUGAAAUACCACCCUUGUAGUGUUGAUGUUCUAACGUCGACCCCUAAUCGGGGUUGCGGACAGUGCCUGGUGGGUAGUUUGACUGGGGCGGUCUCCUC